rnacentral:tRNA from 1 species
GCCCUAAUAAUUUAGUUGGUAGAAUGACGGUCUCCAAAACCGUUCGUGCUGGUUCAAAUCCAGCUUAGGGUG